GCCUACGGGGGGCAGCAGUGAGGAAUAUUGGUCAAUGGGCGGGAGCCUGAACCAGCCAAGCCGCGUGAAGGAAGAAGGCGCCAGGCGUCGUAAACUUCUUUUGUCGGGGAACAAAGGGCGCCACGUGUGGCGUUGUGAGUGUACCCGAAGAAAAAGCAUCGGCUAACUCCGUGCCAGCAGCCGCGGUAAUACGGAGGAUGCGAGCGUUAUCCGGAUUUAUUGGGUUUAAAGGGUGCGUAGGCGGUCUGGAUAGUCAGCGGUAAAAGCCCGGGGCGCAACCCCGGCGAUCCGUUGAAAC
rnacentral:rRNA from 1 species